CUACGGGACGCUCCAGUGGGGAAUAUUGCACAAUGGGGGAAACCCUGAUGCAGCAACGCCGCGUGGAGGAUGACGCAUUUCGGUGUGUAAACUCCUUUUAUAUGUCAAGAAAAUGACGGUAGCAUAUGAAUAAGCACCGGCUAACUCCGUGCCAGCAGCCGCGGUAAUACGGAGGGUGCAAGCGUUACUCGGAAUCACUGGGCGUAAAGGACGCGUAGGCGGGUUGGAAAGUCAGGUGUGAAAUCCUACAGCUUAACUGUAGAACUGCACUUGAAACUUCUAAUCUAGAGUAUGGGAGAGGGAGAUGGAAUUAGUGGUGUAGGGGUAAAAUCCGUAGAUAUCACUAGGAAUACCUAAAGCGAAGGCGAUCUCCUGGAACAUUACUGACGCUAAGGCGUGAAAGCGUGGGGAGCAAACAGGAUUAGAUACCCCUGUAGUC
rnacentral:rRNA from 1 species